GCUGGGUGUGGUGGCAUGUGCUUGUAGUCCCAGCUACUCUGGAGGCUGAGGCAGGAGGAUCACUUGAUUCCAGGAGCUCUGGGUUAUAGUGCGCUAUGCUGAUCAGGUGUCAGUACUAAGUUCGGCAUCAAUAUGGUGACCUCCAGGGAGCUGGGGACCACCAGGUUGCCUAAGGAGGGAAGAACCCACCCAGGUUAGAAACAGAGCAGAUCAAAACUCCUGUGCUGGUCAGUAGUGGGAUCGCACCUGUGAAUAGCCACUGCACUCCAGCCUGAGCAACAUAGCAAGACAACCCUGUCUCUU
ensembl:misc_RNA Metazoa_SRP Metazoan signal recognition particle RNA